rnacentral:rRNA from 1 species
GACGAACGCUGGCGGCGUGCUUAACACAUGCAAGUCGAGCGGCAGCACGGUCUUCGGACUGGUGGCGAGCGGCGGACGGCUGAGUAACGCGUAGGAACAUGCCCUAAAGUGAGGAAUAACUGCACGAAAGGGUGGCUAAUGCCGCAUGUGCUCUUCGGAGUAAAGCUUUAUGCGCUUUAGGAGUGGCCUGCGUCCGAUUAGCUAGUUGGUGAGGUAAUUGCUCACCAAGGCGACGAUCGGUAGCUGGUCUGAGAGGAUGAUCAGCCAGACUGGAACUGAGAACGGUCCAGACUCCUACGGAAGGCAGCAGUAGGGAAUUUUCCACAAUGGGCGAGAGCCUGAUGGAGCAACGCCGCGUGCAGGAUGAAUGCCUUCGGGUUGUAAACUGCUUUAUGUGCGAAGAAUUUGACUGUAACACAUGAAUAAGGAUCGGCUAACUACGUGCCAGCAGCCGCGGUAA